rnacentral:rRNA from 1 species
UACGGAAGGCAGCAGUGGGGAAUAUUGCACAAUGGGCGAAAGCCUGAUGCAGCUAUGCCGCGUGUAUGAAGAAGGCCUUAGGGUUGUAAAGUACUUUCAUCGGGGAGGAAAAAACAAAACUAAUAAUUUUAUUUCUUGACGUUACCCGAAAAAGAAGCACCGGCUAACUCCGUGCCAGCAGCCGCGGUAAUACGGAGGGUGCUAGCGUUAAUCAGAAUUACUGGGCGUAAAGAGCACGUAGGUGGUUUUUUAAGUUCAGAUGUGAAAUCCCUGGGCUUAACCUAGGAACUGCAUUUUGAAACUGAAAUACUAGAGUAUCGUAGAGGGAGGUAGAAUUCUAGGUGUAGCGGUGAAAUGCGUAGAUAUCUGGAGGAAUACCUGUGGCGAAAGCGGCCUCCUAAACGAAUACUGACACUGAGGUGCGAAAGCGUGGGGAGCAAAACAGGGAUUAGAUACC